AACGAACGCUGGCGGCAGGCUUAACACAUGCAAGUCGAGCGCCCCGCAAGGGGAGCGGCAGACGGGUGAGUAACGCGUGGGAAUCUACCCAUCUCUACGGAAUAACGCAUGGAAACGUGUGCUAAUACCGUAUACGUCCUUCGGGAGAAAGAUUUAUCGGAGAUGGAUGAGCCCGCGUUGGAUUAGCUAGCUGGUGGGGUAAAGGACUACCAAGGCGACGAUCUAUAGCUGGUCUGAGAGGAUGAUCGGUCACACUGGGACUGAGACACGGCCCAGACUCCUACGGGAGGCAGCAGUGGGGAAUAUUGGACAAUGGGCGCAAGCCUGAUCCAGCCAUGCCGCGUGAGUGAUGAAGGCCCUAGGGUUGUAAAGCUCUUUCACCGGUGAAGAUAAUGACGGUAACCGGAGAAGAAGCCCCGGCUAACUUCGUGCCAGCCGCCGCCGUAACAC
rnacentral:rRNA from 1 species